rnacentral:rRNA from 1 species
CCAGUGGUUCUGUUGUGUUGGUUUGCGAGCCGCGGUAAUGAUGAAUAGGGACAGUUGGGGGCAUUCGUAUUUCUCAGCUAGAGGUGAAAUUCUUGGAUUUGAGAAAGACGAACGAGUGCGAAAGCAUUUGCCAAGGAUGUUUUCAUUGAUCAAGAACGAAAGUUAGGGGAUCGAAGACGCUUAGAUACCGUCGUAGUCUUAACCAUAAACGAUGCCGACUAGGGAUCGCGCGAUGUUGUUUAUGACGCGCGCGGCACCUUUCGAGAAAUCAAAGUGUUUGGGUUCCGGGGGGAGUAUAGUCGCAAGGCCGAAACUUAAAGGAAUUGACGGAAGGGCACCACCAGGAGUGGAGCCUGCGGCUUAAUUUGACUCAACACGGGGAAACUCACC